rnacentral:rRNA from 1 species
UGUGAUGGGGAGCGAAAUUUAGUAGCGAAGCGUCUGAUGUCACACUGCCGAGAAAAGCUUCUAGUGAGUACUUAACUACCCGUACCGCAAACCGACACAGGUAGUCGAGGAGAGAAUCCUAAGGUGAGCGAGUGAACUCUCGUUAAGGAACUCGGCAAAAUGACCCCGUAACUUCGGGAGAAGGGGUGCUGAUCGCAAGAUCAGCCGCAGUGAAUAGGCCCAGGCGACUGUUUAUCAAAAACACAGGUCUCUGCAAAAUCGUAAGAUGACGUAUAGGGGCUGACGCCUGCCCGGUGCUGGAAGGUUAAAAGGAUGGGUUAGCUUCGGCGAAGCUCAGAAUUGAAGCCCCAGUAAACGGCGGCCGUAACUAUAACGGUCCUAAGGUAGCGAAAUUCCUUGUCGGGUAAGUUCCGACCCGCACGAAAGGCGUAACGAUCUGGGCACUGUCUCAACGAGAGACUCGGUGAAAUUAUAUUGUCCGUGAAGAUGCGGACUACCCGCGACAGGACGGAAAGACCCCAUGGAGCUUUACUGUAGCUUGAUAUUGAGUGUUUGUACAGCUUGUACAGGAUAGGUAGGAG